CUAAAUGGAUUAUUUAUAGUCUUGUUUAACUUUAUAUUUUAGACAUAUAACAUGUAGUAACAUACCAUAUUAGUUUAAAUCAGUUGUAAAAUUAAAAAUGUUAACAUCUUUGAUAGGUAUAUUUAUUUAGGUUAGUUACAGCUAAGUUUACAUGACACAUGGCAUUUGUUAUCCCACUAAUUUGCUGCUUUAGAGGCACGGCAUUUAGUGUCACAUUGUAGGUUUAAAUUGGUUGUAGAAUUUAUAUUGUAACUUGCAUAUUUAUUUAGUUGAGUUUAAUCUAAGUUUAUAUCUGAUGUGUUUGUAUUAUUUUAGAAUUUACUGUUUUAGACACGUGGCAUGUGGUAUCCCACUCUAUUUUAAACAUGUGACAAGUGGUAUGACACUGUAUUGAUGUAUGUGAAAUGUAUAGAGUCUUUCAGUUAUCAGAUAAUGUCAAGGAGUUCCUUCCGAUUUAAAGUGCGAACCUGUGUACGAGUAACAACAGUAUUCAAAACCAAAACCUAUUUAAACCAACCAAACCAAAACUAGCGACCAAAAUCUAUCUUGGCAUUGGUUUAUUUUAAACACCUAUUAUAUAUAUGUGUGUUUUUUAUAUAAAUGUACUAGCUUGAGUAUAGUGUAUUAAAAAAAUUUUUUAAG